UUCUCUCUAUUUCAAAAUGUAAGCACUUCUAGCAUUUGGAAUUUGUACUGGAAUAUAAGCACUUCUAGAGUAGUGUGUG
rnacentral:miRNA from 2 species